CUCAUACAUUAAUUACAACAAAAUAAGAGGUUACAAGAGUCAAGUACAUUCAUUCAUAAUACAUAUCUAUGAACAUAGGGUUCUCAUACAUUCAACUACUAAAACAAAAUACAACAACUAAGUAGUAUGUAACCUAAAACUACUAAUACAAAAUGAUCAGAUCAGGAAGCAUGGGCAUCGAGCUCAAGAUCAAAAUAACUGAAACAUAAUCAGUCUCGACCUCAACUGAAAGGUCUGGUCCAAGUGGAAGAUGUCAGAG
rnacentral:lncRNA from 1 species